GACAGAGGGUGCAAGCGUUGUUCGGAAUUAUUGGGCGUAAAGGGCGCGUAGGCGGCUUUGUAAGUCAUACGUGAAAGCCCUGGGCUUAACCCAGGAAGUGCGUGUGAUACUGCAUGGCUUGAGUCCUGGAGAGGGUGGUGGAAUUCCCAGUGUAGAGGUGAAAUUCGUAGAUAUUGGGAGGAACACCGGUGGCGAAGGCGACCACCUGGACAGAGACUGACGCUGAGGCGCGAAAGCGUGGGGAGCAAACAGG
rnacentral:rRNA from 1 species